UCGUACACAUUUCCGGAUCCGGGAAGCGAAGGCUGGUCUCUUUCAUAUUGGAUUUGAUAGCGGACAGAGCUCGUCGUUUAGGCAUCCGAAGUUAUCGGACCUUUCUAGAGUGAAUCUAGAAAUCUCUAUCCAUUCAGGAUGAGAGCAAAGUGGCGUAAGAAGAGGAUGCGCAGGCUAAAGCGUAAGAGGAGGAAGAUGCGUGCAAGGUCCAAAUAAAUCAUUCCACCAUGACAUUUGAGUAACAUGGAUAAUUCACUGACACUGGGACAACACUUCAUCAUUGUUUGAACAAGAGCAAAGCACUAGAUGUUCACAACUACAUCCUCUUGUGGAUCCAAAUUACAAAUAAUGUUAUCGACGUGGAAGAUUUAAUACUUAAAAAAACAUUUAUCUUGUUUUGAUACAUUAAAACUACGAUUCAAGAUA
rnacentral:lncRNA from 2 species